UGGGGAAUCUUCCGCAAUGGACGAAAGUCUGACGGAGCAACGCCGCGUGAGUGAAGAAGGUUUUCGGAUCGUAAAACUCUGUCUUUUGGGGCGAACGUGAGUAUGGUGAACAAUCAUAGUCAGUGACGGUACCAAAGGAGGAAGCCACGGCUAACUACGUGCCAGCAGCCGCGGUAAUACGUAGGUGGCAAGCGUUGUCCGGAAUUAUUGGGCGUAAAGAGCGCGUAGGCGGGAUAGUCAGUCUGUUGUAAAGUGCGGGGCUCAACCCCGUGAUCGCAAUGGAAACAGCUAUUCUUGAGUGCAGGAGAGGAAAGUGGAAUUCCCAGUGUAGCGGUGAAAUGCGUAGAUAUUGGGAGGAACACCAGUGGCGAAGGCGACUUUCUGGACUGUGUCUGACGCUGAGGCGCGAAAGCCAGGGGAGCGAACGGGAUUAGAUACCCCGGUAGUCCUGGCCGUAAACGAUGGGUACUAGGUGUGGGAGGUAUCGACCCCCUUUCCGUGCCGGAGUUAACGCAAUAAGUACCCCGCCUGGGGAGUACGGUCGCAAGAUUAAAACUCAAAUGAUUGACGGGGUCAUAGCUGUUUCCUG
rnacentral:rRNA from 1 species